rnacentral:rRNA from 1 species
UACGUAGGGGGCAAGCGUUAUCCGGAUUUACUGGGUGUAAAGGGAGCGUAGACGGCAUGGCAAGCCAGAUGUGAAAUACCGGGGCUCAACCCCGGGACUGCAUUUGGAACUGUUAAGCUGGAGUGUCGGAGAGGCAGGCGGAAUUCCUAGUGUAGCGGUGAAAUGCGUAGAUAUUAGGAGGAACCCCAGUGGCGAAGGCGGCCUGCUGGACGAUAACUGACGUUGAGGCUCGAAAGCGUGGGGAGCAAACAGG